rnacentral:lncRNA from 1 species
CAUCUUCACAAAGAACCAUUUAAAAUCAUGUACGCAUUGAAAAUAUGUGCGCUUUCCGAUGACUGUGUUUGAGCAAAAAAUACAUAGGCUUUUGUUUAAAAAUAUAUGUGUGUAUAAAAUCAUGAUUUCUUUGCCAUACACAUAGUAGAAUACAAAUAAGCCAGGGGACUACAUAUCAACUCCCUUGCUCUUAAAACAAAACAAUAAAACCUAUCAUUUCUUCUCUUCAGAGCAUUCUCCUCCUCUCCUUCUCGGGUGCCCUGUGUGGCUUCCAACGAAUCCUGCAUCACCACCGCCAAAGCCAAUGCAAGUGUUAUUUAGAUAGCAGAAAAACAAUGUGCAAUACAAUUAUAUAGACAUCUCUAGCAAAAUAUUGAUUGCACAUGUAGAUGGAGACUAAAACGAAGAAGGCAUUAAGAAUCAAGACGGAGAAGACUGGUCAUAGUAUCAGCCAGGAGUCUCAAAUGAAGUACUCCCUCUGUAAACUUUUAUAAGAGCGUUUAGAAUUUUAGGACACAGCCGACAAAUGGGGAAAUGGACAGUUUUACCCUCGAUUUGAAAUUUGAGUCGUCUUCCUCCUCCAGAGCUCGCGUCGUCUUCUUCCUACAGGAGCUCGCCCGUCUUCCUUCUCUAGCGUGCCGUCUUCCUCCUGCAGGAGCUCGCGUCAUCCCCUUCGUCCAAGCGCUCGGGCCCCGCCUGCAGGCACUCGCCCCCUUCGUCCAGGCGCUCGGUCCAGAUCCCAGGUGCCCAGUUCGGCCUCCGCUGCGCCCGCUUGGUUGCUGCCGCGCCCGCCCAACUUGGCUGCCGCUGUGCCCGCUUGGUAGCCGCCCCCGCCCAGCUUGGUCGUCGCUGCCCCAGAUUGGUCCUCGUCGCGCCCAGCCCACCUAGCUCGUCCCCGCCGCCGCAGCAUAUUGCUUCCAGGCAGGUUCUCCUCCCCUCUCCCCUUGCACAACAGCAGAACUCAGAUCAAUUCUUGUCUGCAAUCUUACAAAUCAAUUCUUCUGUACAGUAGAAGUCAGACUAAUUUCACAAUUUUCUGCACAGUAUCACUUGUGGGCAAUCUUACAAAUCAAUUCUUCUGUAAUCCAUAGAGUACUCCUGCAUUUGAAAAAAACCAAAUCGAUGUGUUCUCAUAGAAGAUUCUUUUCAUGAAAUUUGCUCAUGUAAGAAUGAGAAAGCUGAUGUGCACUUCUGUAGCGAUAGGGGCAUGCACUGAAUUGAUCUUAGCUUCAAACAGACUGAACUGAACUGAUAGGGGAGACAAGGAGAUGUUAUAGCGUACCUGGGAUUUGAGGAGGGGGCGAUGCCCAACCUACGACUCAUCUGUCUCCAUAGCAACGAUCUAGCUGAGUUGGAAAUUAAUCUGGUCGAUUCCCGUAACUAGGCAUCUAGCUAAGAUGGAAAUUAAUCUGGUCGGAGCAUGUGAUGUUUUCCUUUGUUCCAAUUUCUGCUUCUGAACAUAUUCAACAGUAUUUGCCAGUCCGGUUGCAGGAUGAAUGGUGGAUAAUCUGAUAAAAUCUUCAGGCCAUUAACACCACAUCUAGUGAAAUGCCAAGGAAAUUUGUCUUAGCUUCAAACAGACUGAACUGAAUUAGUCUUAACUUCAAACAAUGCAUCACAUGAUCAUUCCAGUGCCCACUUGAUUGUAAUGUUCCCACCCGAAUCAAGCGAAUCGUACGCGUCUGCAAAAUGCCAAGGAUUACUAGAUUCAGCAAAUUGACACAAAUUUUACAAAUGGCUCAGUUGAAUGAUCCUAGAGUACUCCUGCAUUUCUAUAUAAAUAAAAGGAGGAGUACCAUGAAGGAGCAUUUUGUCUCUACCGCAGCAUUACUAUGAAUCUGUACAACAACAUCUAAUGAUACUCCAUAUUUUUUUUCUCUAACGAAGUAUUACAAAGAGUUCAAAUUUAUUUGGUCAAUCUGGGCAAAUGUAUAUGAAUCUCUAUAGCUGAAUAAGCUAAUGCAUAUAAAUUCACACUAUUCUGCAUUACUACUCUUAUUCAGAAACUACUCCAUAUAAAUUCAGCAAAUGUAUAGAAACUAAAUUAUCAGUUAGCAGAAUUUACAAAGAGCUGAAUCUUUGCAGCAGCAUCUAAUGAUACCCCAUAUAAAUUUAUUACAGAGAGUUCAAACAUCUGCAUAUCUAAUGUUUUAGCUUAUAAACUUAACCAGUUCUGAACCAUAUAAACUGAAGAUUGUGUCAUUUGAUGGACUUGUUCAUGCAGAUAUAAGCAAGAGAAGCAGCAACACAAUCGUUUGAAGCCAUCCUUGAAAGAAAAGAAUAAAAAAGAAAGGAUCAAGUUCUGUUUGUCAAUGCUUGACGAGACCACCUUAGCAGCUCCAAGACCUAAAUUCAUCAGUAUGCACAACAUUGUGCAUAUUGACGAAAAGUGGUUCUAUAUGACAAAAAUGAACAGAUGCUACUACCUCCUCCCCGAGGAAGAUGACCCGGUCAGAACUGUCCGGAACAAAAACUGUAUUGGGAAAGUGAUGUUUCUGACCGCUGUUGCUCGACCUAGAUAUGACGCUGAAGGCAAUAUGACAUUCUCAGGUAAAAUUGGUGUCUGGCCCUUUGUGCAAGAGAUUCCUGCUGCUAGAAGAAGUGAGUAUAGAGCAAGAGGGACCAUUGAAAUCAAGUCCGUCAACAUGAACCGACGGGUAAUGAGGAGGUAUAUGAUAGAAAAAGUGGUUCCUGGAAUAAAGGAAGUCUGGCCCGCAGAUGAUACUAAUCCAAUAUUGAUCCAGCAAGAUAACGCAAGAACGCACAUUCUUCCAGGUGAUGCAGAGUUUGCAGAAGCUGUGGCUACAACUGGUCUGGACAUUAAAAUAAUAAACCAGCCUCCAAAUUCUCCUGAUCUAAACGCACUUGAUCUUGGAUAUUUCAGAUCCCUUGAGUCUUUGACCGACUGUAGAGCACCCACAACUAUCAAAGAACUGAUUCAAGGUGUGCAGGAAGAAUUUGAUGAGUAUGAUGCCGGAAAACUCAACAGAAUAUUUCUAACACUUGAGACCGUCAUGGUAGAAGUGAUGAACCAUGAAGGGGAAAAUGCAUACAAAAUUCCACAUUUGCGCAAGGAUAGAUUGGAAAGGCAAGGAAUCCUACCACCUAGGAUUCACUUUCCCCGUGAAGUUUAUGAACAUGCCAUGGAUAUUCUAGAACAAGAUGUCCAGUGAGCUUGGAUUGGAAAGGGAGAGAUACCGUACUCCAUGUUUGGCUUGUAGCGAAAGGCUUGUACUCCAUGUUUGUAGUGGAAAGGCAUUGACUAGUGUGGAAAGGAGAUGAGAGGAUAGGAGAGGAGAGGCAAGGAGAGGAGAUGCUUGUACUCGAUGUUUGUAAUGGAAAGUCUUGUACUCGAUGUCUGUAGUGGAAAGGAGAGGAGAGCAUAUGAUUUUCUGAAUUUUAGGAAUUUUAUAUGAAUUUUAGGAAGUUUCAGAAUUUAUCCCAGAAUUUUAUAUGAAAUUUCUGAAUUUGCGGAAAGGCUUUCUGUGAUUACAUUACCUGAAUUUUAUAUGAAGUUGUGAAAGGCUAUGUAUGAUUUCAGAAAAAAAUAUUAUAUGAAGUUUUUGAAGUUGUUGGAGAGGAGACAGAGGAGAAGAAAGGGCUUUGUAUGAUUACAUUUUCUGAAAUAUUCUGAAUUGUAUGCAAAUUUCUGAAUUUUAUGUUGUUUGUUGGAGAGGAGAGUUUCUAAAUUUCCUUCUGUUUGUUGGAGUAGGAGAGGAGAUAAUUACUCCUGGUCCUUUCUACAUCAAUUCAACAUGAACGAGGAGCUCCUAAUAUUGUGCUAAUAAUUCACCAACUAAUAGGACUCGGCUGAUAAUUCACCAAAUAAGCUUGUGCUAAUAAGAUGCUACUCUGCCGUCAGCCUUCUUUUAUUCCUACACCUCUUGGAAAAAAAUAACACAAACAUGCCUCUAGUGGAAGUAGAUAAAUAGGCUAAUGAAAGAGUACUCGUCCUAGUGGUAGAUUAAUUGGACAAAAUUAAAAGAUCAUGGUCAGGCUGCUCAUGGUCAUAAGCAGAGCAAUGUAAAGCAUGCACUGUUGAGAGUCUUGCCGCACUGGCAUUUCCUUAUAAACUAAACGCCCACAUUUCAUCAUUUGUACUCGAACAAAAGAUUCACAGAAGCAGUAGAUAAGACUGCAUUUGUUAUAGCAGUAGCAAAUGACAGGUGAUUGGUUGGAUACCUGCUCCACUACAUUUGCUAUAGCACAUGUGUUCUUGCAAAAAUCGCCGAUACAAACUGAGUAUGAAAAGAAGCAGCACAACAUCAUUGGCAUUCCUAUUUGGCAUUUUACUCCUAGAUACAGUAUGAUUAUUUCUGGGGUAAAAGCAGCAACCCAACCCCAGCUAUUCACUCUGAAAGAAUAGAAAGAAAAGGAAGGCCCCCAAGAAGGGGGCUGGACCCAAAUCCUCUGUCUCUGCUCUGAUUUUUACCUCUGUUUUUCUUCCCCGACGAGUUCAGUGAAUCUGCGUGUGCAUCCAUUGGAUCCCACCGUGCUAAGCUAGUUCGAGUGAGAUUAGAGAGGAGACCUUAACUUCUCUAGACAAUAGUACUCCUCGAAUCAUCCAUACAUCCAUACAGAGAAGCAAGAAGAGUACCUGCAGACACAGUCCAUCGUCGACGCAGCAGAGGAAGAUGGCGGGGCACAUGGAGGAGCUGCCGCAGCCUGAACAAGGACACACCGCUGCUCUGCUUCGACGGCGCCGUGGACGACCCCGGCGUCCGACUCGCUCCCCCGCCCCUGCUUCUGCCGCUGCAGGGGCUUCUUCACGCACUCCUUGCUCCAGCAAAUCUGCAGCUCAACAUGGGGUAGGCGCUCCUCCUUGCAGGUCGAGGGCGACGAGGAACGCCGGUGUUCGUCACCGGCGUCGUCAAGCAGAAGAAAUCCGUCACCGUCGUCGAGCAGGAGAAGGCUGUCCUCCCGCUCCUCCUCGACCUUGGUAAAAAGGGCAACUUUGCCUCGAGCGGGAGAAGGUGGCGCAGGAGACGCCGGCGAGAGGGAGAAGGCGGCGCAGGAGAAAGGGAGAAGGGGCGACACCGACGCGGGCGAGCUAGGGAGCGGCGCCGGCGUGAGGGAGAGCGGCGCCGGCGAGAGGGGGCUAGGGAUUUGGGGAGAGAGUGCGGUGAGAGGGAGGGGAAUCAGCAGAGUGAGUGAGCGCGGGGCAAAAUGGGAAACGACACAAUUUGCGUAGUGUGGCGAAAUUUGAACUGCACUUUCUAAACGCUCUUAUAAAUGUUUACAGAGGGAGUACCAGCCAUGACAUAGUUAAGUUUUAGUUCAAAUAUCAUGUAAAAUCUUUUCAGCUUAACUUAAAUAAAAACAUACUAAGGCUCCACCAUGUGACUUCCACGUAGAAGGUUCUCAUAUAGAUGGACCAAAAAACAAGAAACAUUUUCCUGUCAAAGGCUCCACCUUGUGACUUCCACUUAGAAGGUUCUCAUAUAGAUGGACCGACGAGACAAAAUUACGACAGGUUAGACCAAAAAACAGGAAACAUUUUCUUGUCAAAGGUAAUUCAAAAUUAAAGAGAGGAAAAUCACAGUCUCUCGUUUUGCCAAAAUUACUGUGUCGACCUGAUUGUUUUUUAGAGGCCCAAAUUUGCUUGAUUCUAAAUAGAUGACACGGUAAACUGACUAUAAAAAUCGGCAGUUCAUACCACAACCCAAUGACUAACAAUGAACAUCUCUCUAUAUGCAAUAUGAUUUCAGAGUCAAACAUACCAUUAUUUGCUAUUGGACCAACCAAAUGUGGUUUCAACUCCACAUGAGAAAAACAAUGUAGGAACUGAACAUACAUCCAAGUAUACAAAACCAAAAAUUCAAGCAAGAAUUAGACAAGGCAUCUAAGGCCAUCAUAGCAUUCACUCACCCUGGUAUGUAGCAUCGGUGGAGCGAAAUGUGUCAAUGCCACGAUAACAUCCACAUGUCCACCUUCAUGCCUCCAUGACUCCUCCUGCCGACCACGCGCCUCUACCAUGGCGUGUCCCCACAUUCCCAGCCACGCCUUCUCAAGUACUCCCAAGAAGAUAAUGGUAACAACAGACUGUGCCAACAUUAUAAACUUAAUAUUAGUAAUUAUUGGACAUACGUUUAACUUGCACAUGAACUAUGUAAAAUGCAAAAUUACUAAUGCCAGCUUAAUAAAAUGACUCCGCGGUGUCAUACAUGGAAAACCAAAGAUCAUGCUUAGUACUAUCUCAGGUAGCAACAAAUAAGCUAAAAGAAGGGAAACUUAAUAAAGGUGUUGAAUCACAUAUAAUUCAUGUUGCCCUUGAUAAUGGAUCAAUCUACUCUUCCUAAAUUAAACAAUAGUGAAAUUCCAGUAAGCCUAAAGGCAUGAUUUGCACAUAUAGGAUAUUUCGUCCUCCCAUUGACGAAGACGAUGAUGCAGUAGUCCAAUACAUAUGAAAGCAAGUGGUUUCGUCAUGAAGCAUAUCGUCAUGGUGCAGAUUUGGUUUUCUGAAAUAAGGCAUGAGCAAUUAACAAAAAGAUUCAUCGCAGAUGGCCAGAUCUAUGAAUGCAAACAUGUUAUAAUCACCUUCUUAAAACAUGCAAACCAGUAAUAUAGGUAACAAACGGUGAGUUCAGCAAGAUUUUGGACACGAAAUGUUAUUUACAUAUCAGGAAAAAGCUUUUGUUGUACAAAAUAGUGUCACAAAAAUAUAUCCCAAUAAGAAGCUUGCUUAUUUUCACAUGGCCUAUUUAUAUUUCUGGUAACUAAAACAACGUGGCAAUGAACAAGAAAAUAAGAGAAUAAAGCUAUAACCAGAUUGUUCAACAAACCUCUAUAGCUUGCAUAUAAACCAAUGAAAGGUAGUAAAAAAGAAGGCACUCAACAAGCACAAUUCAGAAUUAGAAGUGCACCUAACCGACGGGAUCAUGGUACUCAACAACGAUAUUUCUGUACAAACCAGAUUAGAACCACAUUUAACUGAAGAAAGUCAUGUUAAUGGAGCAAUAAAGCCUUACAAACAUGGAUAUGAACCGAUGGCACAAAAUCAAGCAUGAAACAAAUCAGCAGGAUAUUGCAGUACAAAAUGUAUUAAAACCACAUUUUUUAUGAUGAGCUCCAAAGGAAAACCCCACAAACUGGCUAGCAAUUAGAACAAAUCUAACCUUGCCUUGGUCGUGGACCAAAACAACCAAAACAUGGGGCAGUGGAGCAAUGGCGACACCAUCCAUCCAUGUAUCACUGAUGACACUUGAAAACUGAAACGACCCUAAUAAACAGAGUGUCCUGGUGGUAAGGAAGAGACAGGUUCAUUAUCAUAUUUUUCAGGUUUUAGAGCAUAUUCUAAGAUAAGAUCAUUAUUAAUUAAUGGUUAGUGCAUUUGCAAGUAAAAAUGUUGAAGCCAUGAGGUGUAUAACUACAUAGGACUUUUUUGGUAGCUCCAGAUUGGCAGGUAUUGCAUUUGAAAUACGCUAGGUGUAGUAGUUUAAGGCACCAUCAUCAAGAUAACAUCAUUCAUGUGUUCUCUGGUCUCUUUGCCAUCAAAUUAUAUGCAUGGGUUUUCUAGGACGUCUAUAUUUGCAUCUCAAAUGUUGAUGCUUUGCCUGAUCACAACAAUUGCAUUAACCUAGAUUAAUGAUAACCUUAUAUGUCAUGUAAGGAAGAAGAGUGAAGCGAUUUAUGCAUAAGAAUGCCUACCAUUUACAGAUUUGUACCGAAAACAAAAGCAUGAGUGAUAGUGAUAGGGACGCAUACAAAAGCUAUGACUCAAUCCUUGGCACGAGUUCCCGAUUUAAACCAAGUGUUAUUUGCAUAGCAAAGGACUUUAUUUUCAUAUAAAAUUAUUAUAGAUCAAUUUUUAAUGUGGCAGAACCAUAAUUUCAGAACAUAACACCAAUUAGAGUGCAUUCAGCCACCUUCAGCAUUGUAAAUCAAGAUAAACAAUGGAGGCCAAGGUAAACAAUAAGUAACGCCAAAAUACUGAUCAUCAACUUAGUGUUUUGUUAAUCAUUCUAUACCAAGCAUCAAUGAUGUUUACACUCUUAUCAUAACUGAUAAAAAAGAUGCAUCCUUGGACAUGCUUAUUAGUUUUACGCUCAAAUAGAACUUAUUAGGCCAAUAAACCAUACAAUGUGAUUUCUUAGGUACUUAGCAACCUCUCAUAGGUUAAUCAGAAGCUCUUUUAUUGAUUUAGAUGUAAUAACCAAGUCAUUGUGUACCUUUUGGCAAGUUCAUGCAUUAUUGCAUCAGCUUUGAGGUCCAUCAAUCAAAACAAAUCCCAAGCACAUGAAUUGAGCGAACACCUGACAGAACAAAGAAAUAGGUGAGUGUUAUCUAUACAAAAACUAAGACAAUGAAGUAGAAGGGAUAAUUAUUUACAACAGAAGAAAUGGUGGAGUAUAAUAUCUCUACUCGACUCCGAAUUAGCAAAAUAAGAAGACAUGGAAAGGCACUUGAAAAACAUCAUAGCGAAGUUCUUGAGACACUUGAAAAAACAUUCCGAUGAACAAAAUGGAGUCCUCAAAGUGAGAAUUAAUCUGUCCAAUCUACAUGCAAGAUUACAGUUUUUAUCUAAACAACUAAACCCAAAUCAAUAAUAUAAACCUAAAUUCAAAGACUUUGGAUGACAAAAAGGCGUGCAUAUCUGAAUGAAAAUGGGGUUCUUCGUAACUUCAAACCACUCUCGCAUGCUUUGGUUCGAUACUCAGCCACUGGCAGGCCCAAAGAUUCUAAAAGGACAUCUAGCACCAUUCUAUAGGGGAUUUUCACCAUUGGGGGAGUAGCCUGUGGUUUAAAAUGGAUGAUAUUAAUUUGCAGAGUAUGAAAAGAAUGUAAGGCAUAGCCUAAAACGGCAUAUUUAUUUGACACCCAAAACAUAGAGUAACUGGAAGCCUAUGGUUAAACCAUGCCUGCUAGGCUGCUACAGCAAAAAAAGAAAAGAUAACACACAUAGAUCACCAAUUAGAAGGGCUCCCUGCACACCAGUCAAUGGUCUGUAUAAGUAAUUGCACUAAUACAGUAGAUAUCAAACUAAUGGUGUGCAUUAGGUACAGAGGUAUCCUCUUGUGAUGUUGAGAAGGGAAUGGCAAUGGUUGAAUAUCUACUGAUGAAUGGCACCUCUUCCAAUCCAUGUCUUUCCAUGACGAUGAAAAGGGAAAGGGAAGGCUUACAUGGUACGGGGGCAUUUGCGCUACAGAAAUCUUACAUAGACGUGUGUAGAGAGAGAGAUGAAGAGCAGUUGGGAAGCUCACCUUGGCGCCUCCCCAAAAUCCGCCCGUGGUCGCCUGUCCCCGUUACCCACGCCAGGCACCAAAUCAAGCAAAGGAACAAAAGACACCUCUAUAAAGAGAAAAGGACCUCCAGGACAAAUAUAUCCCCUUCUCGAUGAGGAAAGAUCUAGGUACCAAACAAACCAAGAAAGCCAACAAAAAAACUUCUAGGAAUAUAGCUAGAUCCGAGAGCAUCUCCUGAGCAGUAAUAAACAAAAAUCCACUUUGCAAAAACUAAGCUGAGGUACCCAACAAACUUAAAAAGAGGACAAAAUUUCUAUAUGAAAGCCUAGCUAGAUCCGAGCAUCUGGUCAACUGAAGAAACAAAAAGAAUCCUCUUUGUAGGAACCUAGCUAGACAUGAACAUCUCCUUGACAAUAAGAGUGAAGAAGCUCACCCAAUAGAAGAACUGGAGCAUGGACCUGCCGUAAUCACCGGCAUCCUUGGGUUCGCCGCUAGGACGCUCAUUUUCGUCGGGGUCUCCUAUUCUCCCUUGAAAUCGGACGGUGGCUGAGCACCAUGGAAGGGUCCUUUUCAAAUUGCCACAGAAAAGCAGUAAAAAAUGGAGUCGGCUCAUAAAUACAUUUAUGGGCAGAAACAUAUAUACAUAGAUGGAACACAAGGACUGCAUAUAUCAAGUACAUGGAAACCCAUAUCACUGCCAAACAUGAAGAAAUAUUAAUAAACAUGGAGAGAAGUGAUGUACAAAGCUUCAACUUUGCCCCAUGGAGUAUCCAGCUACACAGGAACGGUAUUGGAAUUCAUAAAUUGUAUGAGAUGUACCAUACCACCAGUGAAAUGCUAGGUCACUUACAUUGCUUGGAUUUGGAUGUGCACAACAUCAUACUAUAGAGACUUUUCCGCACAAUAUACUUAUCAGCUAAGAAUCUUAGAAAAGGGAGAUCCAAUCCCAUAACCUGGCAAAUCAUCAAACAAAAUCAGGAAGGGAAAUAUACGAGAAAUCAAAGGAUAAAACAUUAGCUCCAGAGACAUUGACCAAACCUAGGAAAUGUGUGAUUGGCGAGGACGAAAAUACCUACAAACAUCACCAACACCAACACUGGCUACUGCAGUCGGCACCGCAACGUCUCUUGCCAACCAAACCAACAUGUGAAACAAGAAUGAAAUUAGAUCGAAAGGGGAGGGAUGCGCACCGUGGCAGGGGUGCGAGCGAGGAGGAAGGAGAGGUGCGGCGGCUCUGAUGACGAUGAUGAAGGAGGGAGGCAUGCUGAUGUGUACUGAUUCCCCAUGGAAACCCAAGCCCCAGCGGCGCGGCGACGGCUGGUUCGGGAGGCGAGGGAUCAAGCUCCGACCUAGCACCACCAGAUCCGACACCAUCACCUCCUAGUUCCUUGCCUCCCCAUGAAGUGUGCACCGCCUGGGGCCUAGCCCCGUCGCUGCUCCUUCCCCGUGGAAACCCGCGGCGGACGAGCCCCAGCGGCGCGACGGCGGCUGGUCCGGGAGGUGAGCACGCAAGCGCUGGAUGACGUGCGCGCGCGGACGGGAGGGAGGAGAGGAGAGAGAGGAGGGAGGAGGGGGUGGAGGAGAAACAUGGGUGGGGCAGCGACGGCUGGAGGGAUUGGGUGGGAUGGGGUGUAGGGGUUGGGGUAGAGGAAGACGCGCGGCACGUGAGGAUACGCUCGUUUGCACCCGGUAGGAGUUCAC